AACGAACGCCGGCGGCAUGCCUAACACAUGCAAGUCGAACGAGACCUUCGGGUCUAGUGGCGCACGGGUGCGUAACGCGUGGGAACCUGCCCUUAGGUUCGGCAUAACUCCCCGAAAGGGGUGCUAAUACCGGAUAAUGUCUUAGGACCAAAGAUUUAUCGCAUUUGGAUGGGCACGCGUUGGAUUAGCUAGUUGGUAGGGUAAAAGCCUACCAAGGCGACAAUGCAUAGCUGGUCUGAGAGGAUGGUCAGCCACACUGGGACUGAGACACGGCCCAGAAUCCUACGGGAGGCAGCAGUGGGGAACAUUGGACAAUGGGGGGAAGCCUGAACCAGCAAUGCCGCGUGAGUUAUGAAAGCCUUAGGGUUGUAAAGCGUUUUUACCCAGGAAGGUAAUGACAGUACCGGGUGAAAAAGCUCCGGCUAACUCCGUG
rnacentral:rRNA from 1 species